rnacentral:rRNA from 1 species
AGCGAACGUUAGCGGCGGGCCUAACACAUGCAAGUCGAACGAGAAUGAGGGGGCAACUCCUCUAGUAAAGUGGCGGACGGGUGCGUAACACGUGGGUAAUCUACCUUCCGGCGGGGGACAACAGUCCGAAAGGAUUGCUAAUACCGCGUACGUCAGCGAGGUCUACGGAUCUUGUUGGGAAAGAUGGCCUCUCCUUGGAAGCUGUCACCGGAAGAUGAGCCCGCGGCCCAUCAGCUAGNGGUGAGGUAAUGGCUCACCAAGGCUUAGACGGGUAGCUGGUCUGAGAGGAUGAUCAGCCACACUGGGACUGCGACACGGCCCCAGACUCCUACGGGAGGCAGCAGUCGGGAAUCUUCCGCAAUGGGCGCAAGCCUGACGGAGCGACGCCGCGUGAGCGAU